ensembl:lncRNA
CUCUAAUAAUAACACUGGCCCAGUUGGAGUGAGAGUUCAGGGCACAUUAAGAAGAGAUGUGCUGCUGCCAGUGGGCCAAGCUUCAGAAAGAGUGCAGUAGAUAUUUCCUGUACAUUCUUAUUGUGCCGUCUUUCAGCGUUGCAUGCACUUUGUCUGGCAUACCACAAUCUGUCAGUGUGACACAAGCCCAGCCUGGCGGCAUUAGAUAAUCCACCCCGGUUACCGAUGGCCCAUUCAUUGCCGACUCAUUUAUUGACUCACUAACCCCCUGCAGAGGUGUCUGACCAAGCAUUACACAUCCCACUCCAGUACACAUUAUACUGGGUCAUAGUAUUCAGCUGGUAUUUGUCCAUAUCUGGUGUUUUAUGAUCAGCAUUACCAUCAACCAUCUUCAUUCAGCAGGCAGACCGGCAGCUCAUUAAAAGAUGUAACGGUUAACUUGAUGGUAAUCUGCUCCUGAUGAAAAAGAAGGUGGGCAGCCAUAAAACUCUCAUUACUGUUUAAAUCUAUUUGUGCCCCCUCCCCUCACCUAUAACAGAUCAAAUCCGUCUCGAAAGACAAAAGCUGGCUCAGAUUUCAUGACGUAAAAAAACAAAACAGCAAUGCUUUUUUCUUUUUUUAAAGACGAGAGCGCUGCGUUCAUCUUGAACUCACUGAACUUGCAAACCCAAUUUAACGCAUCCCGGGGAGAGGAGGCAUCGAGGAACAUCUGGUGAGGACCAAACUCCCUCCAAACCCUUCUGCUGUCUUUCAAAGCGGAUCUUCGAGGGUCUUCAACAUCUGACGCCUGCUGCCAUUCUGCUUUGAGGAGUCGACACGGGAAAUGUCCUCACUUCAUUCCACAACACAAGAAUCUAUGCAAGGGAAUGUAUUGUUGGGAAGGCUGUGGAGCCACGGACUCAGCAUCCCAAAUGGAGAUAGUUAGACAGCUCUUUCCUCCCCCCAUCCCCCACACUCCUUCCUGCCCCUGUUGCAAUGGAAAUGAACACGCAUGUAAUGAAGUUGAUUUUUUUUUUUUGGAUGUUUUUGCAUAAACGCACAAGAAACUGGCUGCUCUGUGUGUUGGUGUGUGAAUUUGUGUGUGUGUGUGCCUGCUGAUUGGUCCUUUCACUGAACAUAAAAAAAAACAAACAAACAGUGUGCACCAGUGAUGAAGUGACCUUUACCCGCGUAGACUACUGUGUUGCCCUUUGGUGUUGCUAGAAAUCUGCUUGAAAAUAAUUUAUUUCCUCAGCAUCUAUUUGGUUUGUCAGUUUGGAAAAAGUAUUAGUUGGUCUCAAUUUUUUUGUAAAUCUGUUGUUAAAGAAAAAGAGCAAAUGAGUAAUGUAAGAUAAAUGACAAUAAAAGAUCAUUAGCUAGGUUGUUACUUUCAGAUGCCUCCUCAGUUGUAUUUCUUCCACCCAUUGCCCUGUUAGUCAUGUUUACCCUUUUCACUCUUGAUUGCAGUUAAGAGCCAGUUAAUCUCUCUGGUGAACUGAACCCAACUUCUAAUUCACAGCAAGAAAGUGAGCAGUUACACUCACUGGUCACUUUAUUAGGUAUAGCUUUUCAACUGCUUGUUAGUUCAAAUAUCUAAUCAGCCAAUCACUUGGCAGCCACUCAUUGCAUAUUAGUCAUGCAGACAUGUUCAAGGUGACCUCCUGAGAGCAGCUUCAAAUCGAGCAUCAGAAUAAGGAAGAAAGGUACUUAAAAUUAGUGAUGCUGCUGGUGCCAGACAGGCUGGCAAGAGUAUUUUUAGACACUGCCGAUCUGAAAUUUUCCCACACAACCAUCUCUGGGGUUUAUAGAGCCUGGACCAAAAAAGAAAAAACAUGCAGUGAGCUGUAGUUCUCUGGAUGAGAAUACCUUCUUGAUGUCAAAGGUCAGAAGAAAAACGCAAGACUGCUUGAAGCAGCCACUACAACUAGGGUAUGCAGAAGAGCAUCUCCUAAUGUACAACUCAUCCAACUCUGGAGUAGAUGGGCGGCAGCAGCAGAAGACCACACCGAGUGUCACUUGUGUCAGCAAAGAAUAGAAAACUGAAGUUACAGAUCACGUGGGCUCAACAUGGUUUGACACUCAACGAGGAAGUUCACUGUACUCAAUGACCUCCACAGUCACCACAUCUCAAACCAAUAGAGCAGCUCUGACAUGUGGUGGAACAGGAGAUUCACAUCAUGGAUGUACAGCCGACAAACCUGCAGUAACUAUGUGAUGUUGUCGUGUCAAUAUGGCCCAAAAUCUCAGAGGAAUGUUUCCAGCACCUCGUUGAAAAAGUUGGUAAAACCCAGAAUGAACCUAAUAAAGUGGCUUUUAAGAGUGUAUAUAAAAAGAGUCAAAUCAGUCCUUUAAAAUAAUAUUAUUGUGGACAGUCCAGACAAACACUGAGCAUAUUUACAUUAGUCUCACUAAUAACCAUUUAAAAACUUGCAGAGGUGUGUAAUUUGAGAAACUAGCUGUUUACUUGAUAAGUAGCCUGUAACAGGCACCUGUGUCACUAACCUGGGUUCAGCACACUGUUCAUGUA